UUAAGUUCAGCGGGUAGUCCUACCUGAUUUGAGGUCAAGUUAUCAGACAAAUGUCAAUUAGAGAGCAGAGAGAUCACAGUGCAUCACCUGAAACCUGCUUUCCUGGCGUAGAUAAGUUUAUUCGUCUAUCACACCAAUGGAAAGGCAGAAGCGACUUGGCACAUCCCUCCAAAGCUAAUGUCUUUCAGGAGAGCUGACUC
rnacentral:misc_RNA from 1 species